rnacentral:pre_miRNA from 1 species
GGUUGAAGCUUCCAAAGGGAUCGCAUUGAUCCAUCUGUCCACUCGGAUUUCAAUCUCAGUUGAUAAUUUGGAUCAUGCGAUCUCUUCGGAAGCUUCCUCCAUCGC